rnacentral:rRNA from 1 species
UACAGAGGUCUCAAGCGUUGUUCGGAUUCAUUGGGCGUAAAGGGUGUGUAGGCGGCGCGGUAAGUCGGGUGUGAAAUCUCGGGGCUUAACUCCGAAACUGCAUUCGAUACUGCCGUGCUUGAGGACUGGAGAGGAGACUGGAAUUUACGGUGUAGCGGUGAAAUGCGUAGAUAUCGUAAGGAAGACCAGUGGCGAAGGCGGGUCUCUGGACAGUUCCUGACGCUGAGGCACGAAGGUCAGGGGAGCAAACGGG